CCUGGCGGCAAUAGCGCGGUGGUCCCACCUGACCCCAUGCCGAACUCAGAAGUGAAACGCCGUAGCGCC
rnacentral:rRNA from 1 species